rnacentral:rRNA from 1 species
UACGUAGGGGGCAAGCGUUGUCCGGAUUUAUUGGGCGUAAAGCGCACGCAGGCGGUCUGUUCAGUUUGGAGUGACAGUUCCUGGCUCAACCGGGAAAGUGCUUCGAAUACUGGCGGACUUGAGGGCUUCAGAGGGACACGGAAUUCCGGGUGGAGUGGUGAAAUGCGUAGAGAUCCGGAGGAACACCAAAGGCGAAGGCAGUGUCCUGGGGAGUACCUGACGCUCAGGUGCGAAAGCCAGGGGAGCAAACGGG